GACGAACGCUGGCGGCGUGCUUAACACAUGCGGGUCGAACGGAAAGGCCCUGCUUGCAGGGUACUCGAGUGGCGAACGGGUGAGUAACACGUGGGUGAUCUGCCCUGCACUUCGGGAUAAGCUUGGGAAACUGGGUCUAAUACCGGAUAGGAACCAUCUUUAGUGUGGUGGUUGGAAAGUUUUUUCGGUGUAGGAUGAGCUCGCGGCCUAUCAGCUUGUUGGUGGGGUAAUGGCCUACCAAGGCGGCGACGGGUAGCCGGCCUGAGAGGGUGUACGGCCACAUUGGGACUGAGAUACGGCCCAGACUCCUACGGGAGGCAGCAGUGGGGAAUAUUGCACAAUGGGCGCAAGCCUGAUGCAGCGACGCCGCGUGGGGGAUGAAGGCCUUCGGGUUGUAAACUCCUUUCGCUAGGGACGAAGCUUUGUUGUGACGGUACCUAGAUAAGAAGCACCGGCUAACUACGUG
rnacentral:rRNA from 1 species